rnacentral:rRNA from 1 species
CGGCGGACGGGUGAGUAACACGUGGAUAACCUACCUAUAAGACUGGGAUAACUUCGGGAAACCGGAGCUAAUACCGGAUAAUAUAUUGAACCGCAAGGUUCAAUAGUGAAAGACGGUUUUGCUGUCACUUAUAGAUGGAUCCGCGCCGCAUUAGCUAGUUGGUAAGGUAACGGCUUACCAAGGCAACGAUGCGUAGCCGACCUGAGAGGGUGAUCGGCCACACUGGAACUGAGACACGGUCCAG